rnacentral:rRNA from 1 species
UACGGAGGGGGCUAGCGUUGUUCGGAAUUACUGGGCGUAAAGCGCGUGUAGGCGGCCCUGCAAGUCGGAUGUGAAAUCCCACGGCUCAACCGUGGAAGUGCAUUCGAAACUGCAGGGCUAGAGUCCUGGAGAGGAAGGUGGAAUGCUUGGUGUAGAGGUGAAAUUCGUAGAUAUCGGGAGGAACACCUGUGGCGAAGGCGGCUUUCUGGGCCUUACCUGACGCUGAGACGCGAAAGCGUGGGGAGCGAACCGG